rnacentral:rRNA from 1 species
GACGAACGUUGGCGGCGUGCUUAACACAUGCAAGUCGAACGGAAAGGCCCUGCUUUUGUGGGGUGCUCGAGUGGCGAACGGGUGAGUAACACGUGAGUAACCUGCCCUUGACUUUGGGAUAACUUCAGGAAACUGGGGCUAAUACCGGAUAGGAGCUCCUGCUGCAUGGUGGGGGUUGGAAAGUUUCGGCGGUUGGGGAUGGACUCGCGGCUUAUCAGCUUGUUGGUGGGGUAGUGGCUUACCAAGGCUUUGACGGGUAGCCGGCCUGAGAGGGUGACCGGCCACAUUGGGACUGAGAUACGGCCCAGACUCCUACGGGAGGCAGCAGUGGGGAAUAUUGCACAAUGGGCGGAAGCCUGAUGCAGCAACGCCGCGUGCGGGAUGACGGCCUUCGGGUUGUGAACCGCUUUCGCCUGUGACGAAGCGUGAGUGACGGUAAUGGGUAAAGAAGCACCGGCUAACUACGUGCCAGCAGCCGCGGUGAUACGUAGGGUGCGAGCGUUGUCCGGAUUUAUUGGGCGUAAAGGGCUCGUAGGUGGUUGAUCGCGUCGGAAGUGUAAUCUUGGGGCUUAACCCUGAGCGUGCUUUCGAUACGGGUUGACUUGAGGAAGGUAGGGGAGAAUGGAAUUCCUGGUGGAGCGGUGGAAUGCGCAGAUAUCAGGAGGAACACCAGUGGCGAAGGCGGUUCUCUGGGCCUUUCCUGACGCUGAGGAGCGAAAGCGUGGGGAGCGAACAGGCUUAGAUACCCUGGUAGUCCACGCUGUAAACGGUGGGUACUAGGUGUGGGGUCCAUUCCACGGGUUCCGUGCCGUAGCUAACGCUUUAAGUACCCCGCCUGGGGAGUACGGCCGCAAGGCUAAAACUCAAAGGAAUUGACGGGGCCCCGCACAAGCGGCGGAGCAUGCGGAUUAAUUCGAUGCAACGCGUAGAACCUUACCUGGGUUUGACAUGGAUCGGGAGCGCUCAGAGAUGGGUGUGCCUCUUUUGGGGUCGGUUCACAGGUGGUGCAUGGCUGUCGUCAGCUCGUGUCGUGAGAUGUUGGGUUAAGUCCCGCAACGAGCGCAACCCUUGUUCACUGUUGCCAGCACGUUAUGGUGGGGACUCAGUGGAGACCGCCGGGGUCAACUCGGAGGAAGGUGGGGAUGACGUCAAGUCAUCAUGCCCCUUAUGUCCAGGGCUUCACGCAUGCUACAAUGGCUGGUACAGAGAGUGGCGAGCCUGUGAGGGUGAGCGAAUCUCGGAAAGCCGGUCUCAGUUCGGAUUGGGGUCUGCAACUCGACCUCAUGAAGUCGGAGUCGCUAGUAAUCGCAGAUCAGCAACGCUGCGGUGAAUACGUUCCCGGGGCU